rnacentral:rRNA from 1 species
UACGAAGGGGCUAGCGUUGUUCGGAAUUACUGGGCGUAAAGGGCUCGUAGGUGGCCAACUAAGUCAGACGUGAAAUCCCUCGGCUUAACCGGGGAACUGCGUCUGAUACUGGAUGGCUUGAGUUUGGGAGAGGGACGCGGAAUUCCAGGUGUAGCGGUGAAAUGCGUAGAUAUCUGGAGGAACACCGGUGGCGAAGGCGGCGUCCUGGACCAACACUGACACUGAUGAGCGAAAGCCAGGGGAGCAAACGGG